GAUGAACGCUGGCGGCGUGCCUAAUACAUGCAAGUCGAGCGAACAGACGAGGAGCUUGCUCCUUCGACGUUAGCGGCGGACGGGUGAGUAACACGUAGGUAACCUACCUAUAAGACUGGGAUAACUUCGGGAAACCGGAGCUAAUACCGGAUAAUAUUUCGAACCGCAUGGUUCGAUAGUGAAAGAUGGCUUUGCUAUCACUUAUAGAUGGACCUGCGCCGUAUUAGCUAGUUGGUAAGGUAACGGCUUACCAAGGCAACGAUACGUAGCCGACCUGCGAGGGUGAUCGGCCACACUGGAACUGAGACACGGUCCAGACUCCUACGGGAGGCAGCAGUAGGGAAUCUUCCGCAAUGGGCGAAAGCCUGACGGAGCAACGCCGCGUGAGUGAUGAAGGUCUUCGGAUCGUAAAACUCUGUUAUUAGGGAAGAACAAACGUGUAAGUAACUGUGCACGUCUUGACGGUACCUAAUCAGAAAGCCACGGCUAACUACGUG
rnacentral:rRNA from 1 species